AUGAUGCCCAUCACACUGCAGUUUGAUCAUCAGAGGAGCAAGAACAAGAAGAUGAAGAACAAACAAGAAAAGUCACAGAUUAAAGGGCCAAGAGACACAAACACAGUGAAACCUGUUAGAUGGGACAGCAUGGAGCACGUGAGACCAGACUUCUCUUGUGAUCAAGCUGAAGAGUCUCAUUCUGGUCAACCUGAUAAGGUCCAAGGAUCAGUGCCUUUUAAUAACCCAAGGACACUUGGGUGGGAAGUCGUGGCCUAGUGGUUAGAGAGUUUGACUUCUAACCCUAAGGUUGUUGGUUCGAGUCUCGGGGUGGCAAUACCACGACUGAGGUGCCCUUGAGCAAGGCACUGAACCCCCGAGCUGCUCCCCGGGUGCCGCAGCAUAAAUGCCUGCCCACUGCUCCGUGUGUGUGUUCACGGUGUGUGUGUGUUCACUGCUGUGUGUGUGCACUUUGGAUGGGUUAAAUGCAGAGCCCGAAUAUGGGUCACCAUACUUGGCUGUAUGUCACAUCACUUUUACAAAAUAAUACAAGCAAUUGGCAAACAAAAUACACCUGACAGUCAGAGGGGACAUUCAGACAAACAGGUGUUGACAACAAAUAACUACGGAUAAGAGGUCAUGCAAUCAGAUGAUGAUGGACAUCAGUUAAGUCAAGAGGGAGGUCGUGUAACAUACAAACAAAAGUUGGGAAACAGAGACACAGGGAGGUAAAUGAGUUAUUCACAGAACAAAGUCAAUAGAUGAGUUUUAUGUUCAGACUCAAAGGUCUGGAGAGAGGAGGCAGCAUGAAUAUUAUAGAGCAGUUUAUUUCUUAGCUUAGUGCCUAUAAUACAGAAAUCCCUACCACCCCCGAUACAGAGUUAUGAAUAUUUAUGCUCUUUUAGAAAACAUCUGGACCUUAAACUGUAUGUAUGUGACAGCAGUUCAGUCUCUAUCCUAGACAACUUUCCUCAGUUUGCUUUUGUGUACUUCACACAUCCUCCACAGCUGCACAUUAAGCCGUGCUUGUAUUCCUGUAGCGAACACAGCAUUUUUUUUUAUCAUCAUUUUCAGAUGUAUAAUUUUUUGGUUUAUGUAGUUUUCUGUAUUACUGAUUUGAAUGAGAUGCUGUUCUGUCAUUUGUCUGUUGUGUUGCAGUGUCAGGUAUGACAUGCAAUUUUGAAUUUGAAUUCUCGCACUGUAUUUAUUGCACUUUAUUUUUUAACUCUUUUCUUUUGUUGAGAGCUAGGGAAAUGUCUCUUGUGAAGCCUUACAUUACAUGAAACCAAAUCUGUUUUUGUGGGUCACAAAUCUUAGGCAUCAUGUGAGGGUUGAUAACAGGAAACAUUUUUUGAUCUUUGUCUCUCGCAUUAUAUCUGGCAACCCUUAUAGCUUUAAUGAAGCGAACACGCUUGUGUGAAGAAAGAGUUCAGAAAAGAGCAGCACAUGAAGCUACUGUUAAUGACGACUGGUCAGGAAUUAUAUAUAGUGUUUUUAAUUACACACACAUUUUAACUGCAUUAUUUUCAGGCGCCAGGUUGGGAACCGCUGCCUUCAAAUGUCUCUGAAUAUUUUAAUUGUUGUUUAACUGAUAAUACUGAAAUUUAUGCACUGCUUUGUGUACAAUCAUAUUUUAAUAACAUUUUAUAUAUUUUAACAUUGUUUUACAUUAUAAUUGACAUUCUUUCUACUGACUGUGGUUUAUGAAAGGUGUCAAUAAAAGUUGUAAUAAUUACCCAGCUUAUUUGUGAUACUUAUAUUAUUCUUAAAGAGACAUUGCAGAGCAUGUACCUGUCAUUUGUCUUUUAGAAAUCAUUUAAUUAUAAUAGUCAACUGAAAAGAUAAAAGCCCAAUUUGAUAAUUUAUUGAUAGUAAUUUUUAACAUUAAUUUGUGCCUCACUGUUUCUGUGAACUCUUUAGUUUAUAUUAACCUUGUUAUUCACCUAAUGAACUGUAACCUAAAUUCAGAACUUGAGUUGAUAUUUGAAGCCAGGGCUUUUACUUUACUUAGCUUUAUUUUAAUGGGUUACCAAAAACAAACAAACAACAAAAAAUAUAAAACAUCAUUCAAUAUUUAGACGUCUAAUUUUAGUUGAUCCUCCAUUAAGUAUUUCAACAGAGAUAACAUGUUUUCAUAGUGUGUGAAACCACUAAGCGUAAUUAAAUCAUUUAAGUGCUAUAGUAACUUUUUGUUAUUGUCGGUUUUUUUUGUUUUUUUUUUAAUGUGAAGUUGAAUUACCACAUGCUCAACACAAUGGUAACUGUCCCCCAAAACACCAACAUGACAGACAUUAACAAUAAUUAAAUAAAGUUUCCCUAUUUUCUCAUCUUGUUAAAAAAAAUGUAUAAAACAACACUUUAUUUCAGCAUUUUCUCUCCCCAUAUACAGCUCUGUGCAAAACAUGAUGGGAAUUGUGCAAUUUAUUUUAAGCUCAGUUUAACAUGACGCAGUCAAACAUACAAGACUUUUAGUGUGCAAACCACAUCAACCCACAGACUGUUUACCAAAGAUGAUGAUAUUUCCAGGAUAAUAAAGGCAUAUAGCCUAUAAUUUGCAGGCGUCAGGCAGCCGGUAUCAAUAGAGACUCCCAUAAUAAUAACCCAAGGCCUUGUAAAAUAAUGACUUAUUAAUUCACGAAGGAUUCAUUGGCAUAGUUAGUUUUAAAUAGGGGACACACGUCGUAAUUGUUUAAAUGUAUUCUUUGGGAAAUAUAUGAGGCCUAUUUCUCGGGGUCAUGACCAACCUGUCCAGAGAUAAUAAAAACGAAACAUGCAUUAGAUGGACUCAUUGCGAAAGAUUUUAGAAAACGCCUCUAGAGACAUUUUUUUCUUAUUCACACUGUUAAGUCUGCAAAGGGCAUGUCAUUUCUCAGGUCAGUGUUCUGUCCAACCGAGUUGCACGUUGUCUGCGUGAAAAUGAAGCACUGUGAAGCCUGUGGGCGGGGCUUGGCUGCUGUGUUUUGGUUUGAUUGGGCGGUCCUUCCUUGUGAUUGAAAGCUGCGAUAUGACUCAACGUGGCAGAAUAAACUCCAUAGGAAUGAACUUCUCCUCGGUGCUGAAACAGCACUUGUAUUUUAAAAUGAAAUUGAUCGUUUAGUCACGACGCGUUUUAUUGUUUUGUUGGUGUUUGGGGUCCUGAUAUUUCAGCUGUGUUUAAAAGUGUUGGACAGUUUGUUUUGUGUGUGAUCUUCAGAGGACAACGUGGAUGUUUACAUAGAGGAAUCUGCUACGGUAUCAGUCAUAAAAAGGUAGGUUAUGACAAAUUAUUGUUAUUAUUUACUCAAAAUAAUAACAAACAAAAAGUCAGAUGACAUUUACAUGGUUUUUAAUAAUACAAAAGAAGCUUUAAAAUUAUAUUCAGUUUGCAUUGUAAAGUCUAUGUAGUUUGUAUGUUGCUUUUAUUAAAUGAAUCUUAGAACAAUCUAAGGGCAUUAUUAAACCUUGAUAAGGCAACUUUACAAUAUAUGAGAGUAAAGCUCUGUGUCCUGGUCAGUUGGGUCACUUUGACUGUGAAAUAAGAUGUGAAGUACCAGCAGCGCCACCUGCUUGAGAGUCACUUUCACAAACUCAGCGUAAUUCUGCGCUGAAGUUGCAUCAUUCAUCAACUUUCGGAAUUCUAAAUAAACAAUUCAGCUGAUGAUGUAGAGAUAGCCUAGAUAGUUACGGAUGGUAAACCGGUUCGAAUGCGUUGCAAGGAAAAACUAAGGGAAACUUUGUUGUAUUACAGAAGAAACGAAGGAUAAUGCAAUAUAUUUAAUGCAUCACGUUGAGCAUUUCUUCUUAUACCUGUUUUUAUAUCAUUCUAAAUUUAAAUAAGUUUUUAUACUCGAACUUUUUUUAAGUUUAGAAAAUAAUAAGGUGAUUUAUUAGGCUAAAGCACGGAUAUUUGUACACACGUUCACAGAGCUCAGAACGUCACGUACGUAAGUGGGCGGGGCUCAUAUAAAUAUGACGAGGGAGGGUGUUGUCGCCUGAGGUUCCGUGAAUUCACAAGCGCUACGGAAGCGUAAGCCACGCUGAAAGUGCGCGAAAAUAAAUGUUUUUCUUUGUCACUAUGUGCUUUAAAUCCUUGUUUCUGUAAUUUGUAUUUGUAUGGAUCAGCUGGGGAACUUGAAAAGUGGUAUUAUUAAGAGGAUUUGAGCUUGUGACAACAGCGCGUGCCGUAGGUCAUUAACACGUGCGCGUACCUUUGAGCACAGCAGCGGUGAGAAUUUAUUUAAUUCCUAUAUUUAUUAUGUGUACAUAGAUAUUAAUAGUAAGCUUUACUGUUUUACAUGCGAAUUUGGACGUAUAUUGGUGAUUAUUUCAUUUUUGUUUCAUGUGUGAGAUGCGCUAGCCGAUCUCUUUGACUGUUUCAGCGGUUUUACUGGGUCUGCGGUGUUAGAUCUCACUUAAACAGCUUUUGGUUUUGUUUUAUGGUGCACUGAAAAAAACUUAUGCAUUUCUUUUGCUGAAUGAUCGUUUUAGAGCUUAAACUGGCAGUUUACUAUUGAGGUUUCUUGCUGUCAUUUUUGUGCGCAUGCGCACAUACACUAGUCUACAAGCGCUUUUUAUGGUGAUGGAAAACAUGUAAGUGUCAGGACAUUAAAAAAUGUGUUUUUAGGUAGGUCUUGAAGAGUCUGUUCACUUGAGUUAUUUUUGCAUUCACACUCUCUUUUGCCUUGAAAGUGGACUGUGAUCUCAUUUUGGUCCAUCUACUUCUCACAUUGUUCUAAAUCUUUAAUCACUAGAAUAUUGUAAUAAUUUUUAAAAUAAUUAGUAUUUUAAUACACAUAUAGUACAUCGACAUACAAUAGUCUUAAAUGUAGUAAUUAGCAUUUUCACAUAAAAGAUCAAUUAAAAGAUCUCAUUAUGUAAAACAAGAUCAAGUUUUUUUUAAUUGCAUGUCUUCAUUGUGUUUGUAUAAUAACCUGAAUGUCUAAAAUAUUAAUAAUUAUGCAAAUGCGCACACUCAUUGCAUAUUAUAAGCAAGCAAUCAUCACUAAGAUGCAGAUGAGUGUACUCUAAAGUUUUAGUGUGUUCACAUAUAAAACACAAACUGACCUCUGGUGUAAACAGCCUGAUUUAUUCAUUAGCGAAUCAUGUGUUAAAAUCCAUAUCCAGUAUAAAUUCUCAGAUCAAGCCAUGUUCACAUGAUUGCCUUCUAAUACUGUUUGUUGCUUUAACUCCAUCAUUUGUUUGGACUGAUUACUCAAACAGAAGUGAACUUGAAUAUCCGUCAGACACGAAGCAGCACACGUGAUUGAGCAGUUUUAUGACUGAACUGGCAAGAUG
rnacentral:lncRNA from 1 species